ACAAACGAGUUUAAAGUACUGUAAUGUUUGGGGAUGUUUCAGAAAGUUGUCUCUUACAACAAAUAUGAGAUCCAAGGACUCUGCUUAUAGUGAAUACUUAGUAAAACUUGGGAAU